rnacentral:rRNA from 1 species
GAUGAACGCUGGCGGCGUGCCUAAUACAUGCCAGUCGAGCGAACAGACGAGGAGCUUGCUCCUCUGACGUUAGCGGCGGACGGGUGAGUAGCACGUGGAUAACCUACCUAUAAGACUGGGAUAACUUCGGGAAACCGGAGCUAAUACCGGAUAAUAUAUUGAACCGCAUGGUUCAAUAGUGAAAGACGGUUUUGCUGUCACUUAUAGAUGGAUCCGCGCCGCAUUAGCUAGUUGGUAAGGUAACGGCUUACCAAGGCGACGAUGCGUAGCCGACCUGAGAGGGUGAUCGGCCACACUGGAACUGAGACACGGUCCAGACUCCUACGGGAGGCAGCAGUAGGGAAUCUUCCGCAAUGGGCGAAAGCCUGACGGAGCAACGCCGCGUGAGUGAUGAAGGUCUUCGGAUCGUAAAACUCUGUUAUUAGGGAAGAACAAAUGUGUAAGUAACUAUGCACGUCUUGACGGUACCUAAUCAGAAAGCCACGGCUAACUACGUG